UACGGGGGGGGCAAGCGUUGUUCGGAAUUACUGGGCGUAAAGGGUUUGUAGGUGGCCUGCUAAGUCAGACGUGAAAUCCCUCAGCUUAACUGGGGAACUGCGUCUGAGACUGGUAGGCUCGAGGACAGGAGAGGAACGCGGAAUUCCAGGUGUAGCGGUGAAAUGCGUAGAUAUCUGGAGGAACACCGGUGGCGAAGGCGGCGUUCUGGACCAUUACUGACACUGAAUCGCGAAAGCUAGGGGAGCAAACGGG
rnacentral:rRNA from 1 species